rnacentral:rRNA from 1 species
UACGGAGGGUGCAAGCGUUGUCCGGAUUUAUUGGGUUUAAAGGGUGCGUAGGCGGUUAAUUAAGUCUGUGGUGAAAUCCUGGAGCUCAACUUCAGAACUGCCAUUGAUACUGGUUGACUUGAGUACAGACGAGGUUGGCGGAAUUGAUGGUGUAGCGGUGAAAUGCAUAGAUACCAUCAAGAACACCGAUUGCGAAGGCAGCUAACUAGGCUGUAACUGACGCUGAGGCACGAAAGUGUGGGGAUCAAACAGG